AGCAGUAUGGUGUAAUCGUGCACACGGGCUCUCUAUGAGGCAGAAGAAGCACAAAAAAAAAUUGAAUUCCCGAGGUCCUUGUUCGACUCAAGGUACUGCUC